AAACGCUUCAUCGGCCAGCAGUGAUGAAGCUUAACCUAUCUCUCGAGCGCGACGAGCGCGUGCUCACCUUUCAUCUAACGGAUUUUACGCGUCUGUCAUGUGAGGAAGUGAAGAAGACACGUAGCCCAAUGACACAUUCAGACGGACAGUAGGCUACAGUCGUGACAGUGGAGAUAUUGCUGCAGUAACGCGCAAACAAUCACCAGGCAAAUGACGUCACUAAGAAGGCACGGUGGUGUUUUCAAGUAGCACGAGGAUUUUAACGCCACUCUUCAAGGAAGUUCGGUAAAAUGGCAAAGAAUAAACAAAAGGGGAAAAAACAGAAGAACGUCUUUCAAGUGGCAAACAAGCACUUGAAGAACAAGACCAAAGCGAAACCCGUCACAACAGCACUCAAACAUAUCAAUACAGUGAAAAAGGAGAAAGUGGAGAGUCUAAAUCAAAUCUUCACAGAAGUCCAGAGGGAUGUUAAGAGCAUUUCAAAGUCAGUCGCUCCUGAGCCAAAGAAACAAAUACAGGUUGUCAGAGAGUCACCAAAGGAAUCUGUCAAUAUCGACAAUGCCACUCAACUCCUCUCUCAGCUAUAAUGGUGUAAAAAUAAGUGAUUACCAUGAACAAAGAUGAUGGACUGAAUAUGCUCUCAAAGCAUUUUGUCAUUUCUCUUCAAAAUGAGGACUACAGAUGAGCUGACAAGAACCUGCUGCAUUGAUAUGGGAGUGAAACCUCAUGUGCAACUCAAGGUUUUUGCGUAUUAUGUGCACAAAGAAAUCAAAUCCAGUGACAGACUUGAACACUGUCAAUUGUAACCUUCUUUCACAUUAUGCACCUUUGUGUAUUUUAUUAAUAUUCUUUUAGACUUUGAAUACACAUUAUUGUCAUUAUUGAUUCUCAGAAAAUGCUUACAUUAGAGCAGAUUCAAACUGUAAUGUUAUAUAUGGCACGAACAAUAAGUUAAAUGAAACAAAAUAAAGUGUUGAUAUGUCAGAUGACUAAUCUUUUCAUUAACCGAUUCUCUUUAAAACUCUUUGUGUGCCUUGUAGUCAUUUUUCAAUAAACUUUUCAAAAGAA